rnacentral:rRNA from 1 species
GUGGGGAAUCUUGCGCAAUGGGCGAAAGCCUGACGCAGUCAUGCCGCGUGAAUGAUGAAGGUCUUAGGAUUGUAAAAUUCUUUCACCGGGGACGAUAAUGACGGUACCCGGAGAAGAAGCCCCGGCUAACUUCGUGCCAGCAGCCGCGGUAAUACGAAGGGGGCUAGCGUUGCUCGGAAUUACUGGGCGUAAAGGGCGCGUAGGCGGACAGUUUAGUCAGAGGUGAAAGCCCAGGGCUCAACCUUGGAAUUGCCUUUGAUACUGGCUGUCUUGAGUACGGGAGAGGUGAGUGGAACUCCGAGUGUAGAGGUGAAAUUCGUAGAUAUUCGGAAGAACACCAGUGGCGAAGGCGACUCACUGGCCCGUUACUGACGCUGAGGCGCGAAAGCGUGGGGAGCAAACAGGAUUAGAUACCCUGGUAGUCC